rnacentral:tRNA from 1 species
GUUUUAAUAGUUUAACUAAAAACUUUGGUCUUGUAAACCAAAAAUGAAAUAUUAAUUCUUAAAACU